GGCCAGUGAUCGGUUGAAGAGCAUGUGUUUCGUUUUUCUAGCAUUUAAGAACAGUUGGAUGCCACGGAAGGAGUGUUGUAUGGCGUUGAAGCUCGUUUGGAGGUUUGUUAAUAACACAGUGUCAAGAAGGGCCAGAUGUGUACAGAAUGGUGUCGUCUGGCUGGAGGUGGAUCAAAGAAUCAACCGCAGCAAGAGCGACAUCAUUGAUAUAUACAAUCAAUACAUUGAUUGAUGAAUUAUGUUACACAAAGGAUGGUCCUUGAACAAAUGGAUGGUCCUCUGCAGUAUCUGUCAAUUCCCACUCUCCAUCCCGUCAACACUUCCCCCUGAGCACUGCUGCUUACUCACAGGAAAUCAUGGAAAUACUCGAGCAUACAGCCACAUUCUGUACCGACAAGACCAUUGGGGGACCUCCUAGUCAUUUAACUCUGAAUGACCUCAUGAUAGAUGUUGUUGUAACUCAUACUAAGGGGCCCUGACUUGUAUUCAUUGGGGCACACUGGAGAAAAAUGUUUUGUAACAGAAAAAAAGUGUUUUUUGGGGGGGUAAGUUUUGGUUGUCCCUCUGUUUCAAUCAGUAUUCUUCCAUUUUGUGCCAAAUGAAUACAACCCAGGACCGGCCAUUUAGGCUUUCCUCUGUGUUGUGUCCCUGCUGUGUGAUCUCAGCAUAAAGCCUGAGCUAUGUCCUGAUAUAUGUGUUUAUUCAGUGUGUCAGUGAAUGGGUGAGCACGUCCAAAGUUCAGGUGGGUGGAACUGUUUCGUAUGACUCAGUGUGGGGAAUGAGAAAAUGGCAUUGCCGUAGGCAGAGAAAAAUUGGGAGAGCUAGUCAUAUGGAAAGGAGAGCUGGAGAGACAGAGAGAAAGAAUGACAUAGCGAGAGGAUGAGUCAAACAGGUGUAGUAGUUGAGUAGUAGUGCUGUUUCAGUCUGGCUUCAGAGACAAGACUCAUUCCCUCCAUCAGAUUUCAAUGAGAGGCUACGUGAGUACCACUCCCUAGCUGUGCUAUUGAAACUUCCUUCCAAACACAGUCCAGUCCCCUCUUGAAAUGAGACAUACCAAUUACAAUGGCCUCCUAAUCCAGGCAGCACACAGAAGCAGGAACAGGUGUGCCAAUCAUUCUGUCUGGGUGUCAGCACAGCUACUCACAAUCCACUGUGUUUGGAGUGCCUUUCAAGACCAUCCAGCAGCAAGGAAAGAACAUGGGUCAGUUUGGGGUUGUCUUAUCUAUUACCUAAAAUUGCCAGGCUACGCCAGCUCCUGUUUAAUGAGGAAUACCUUAACCAGUGGAAUACGGGUGCGUGACAGACCACAUACUGGAUCAUGAGCAAUGCAAUGGACCAGAUGCUGCGUGGUGAGCAGGUGUCUGAGUCUGCUACGUUCAAGUGCC